rnacentral:lncRNA from 1 species
ACACUUGCCCGGGCCAGGGCGGCAUGACUGGGGCCCUUUAUCCCGGCCCCGGGGCCGGGGCGGCUCAAGGCUCCAUUCACGGCCACCGCAGGCUCCCGCCCGGCCACGUUCCUCAUGCAGGCGUUUGGAAGCCCCGCGGCACCCGGUGGGUGAAGACAAGCUGUGUCGUUUGUGCCUUGGCGGCGGCCGCUCUCCAACCCCCAUGGCCCGGCCCCUCCCCAGCCCGGCCGCCCGUCCACAGCUCCAGACCCGGGGUCAACCACUUGUGCCAAGGAGCCUGAGAUCCCAGCCCAUGCCCAGCCAGUCAGAGCUGCCUGUCCCACCUCAGGACUGGUGACAGAUCCUCACUGGCUGUCCCCUCCCACCUGCCAGAAGCAGUGCCUGAAGUCCAGAGGACUCCAGGUGCCAGGCUCCCCCUGGGGAGGAGCACGGGGCUGGGCAGUCAGCCGGGGAGGAGCAAGCUGGUGGCUGGGACACACAACUCCCCAUGGUGUCGGGCUGGGGGCAGCAUGCCUGACCUGGCAAUGGCCCCGGUGACGGCUGGGGGUGGCCACGGCUGGGCUCAGGCCAGUCUUAUCUGUGGAGGCUCAGAGACCAGUGGCCACUUCCUGGGUCUCUGGCGGUGGCGGCUCCCACUAUGACUUCCCCAAGCCAGUCUGGUGCCAACACCCUGGGCUGAGAGUCCCCAGCCCCAUUGCAUGCUCCACAGCACAGGCCCCAAAGGCCACUGUCCAAGGCCACCCCCGGGUGCCCCUCGCCCCACACCUGGCCCCCUCGCGGGCUGGAGACUCGCUGCUUCUGACUCGGGUCCCGGGACAGGGCACCCACCUGGGUCCCAGUGCCCAGGGGCUGCCGCCCACAUGCUGAGCCCCUGACCCUGGAGUUUCAGGUCCCAGAUGGAAAGUGGGGAGGGUGCCUGUCUCCGGCUUCUGGAGAUCCCUGGGAGGGCACCCUCCUCCACGUGGGCCCGGGAACAGGAAGUGCUUGACGGGGCUCCCAGGUGGGGCCAGCACUGCUCUGUGGGUUUUUCCAGGGAGGGGCUCCUGGGAUCUGAAGUCCUCUAAGACCCCCCACCCCCAGCCCCCAGCAGGCAGGGACCCUGCCACGCUUCCCUCUGAGGUCUCCACAGGAGUGGGUGCGGGUCCUGUGGCUUUGCUGGAGGUAGGGCUGGGGCCUCCUGCAGCCCCAGGUCACUGGUCUAUGAUUGUCACCAUCGGGUGGUGGCUGGCCUGGAGAGUGUCUCCUCUCGCGGGUGGAGUCAGGGGCCUGGGUUUCAGGUUGGGGGCUUGGGGACUUCAGUGAGAAGACAGGCCAGGACCUGGCCAUGGACAAGGGGACAGCAGGAGAGAAGGGGGUGCUGCCCCCAGCUGGGACCCCAGAGCCCCCCACCUGGUUCCCAUCUCCUCUGCCUCCUCCCCUUUGCCAAGAGGCCUCACCACCAGCACCCCAAGUCCCCACAGGCUGGUGCCCCGCGAGGCCCCGGGCACUUCCUCCAGGAAGCCUUCUCCCACCCCUGCAGCUCAGCCACACCCAGCGGCCCCCAGCCAGAGGAGGGGCACCUGGGACCAGACAAGCCUGGGCUCGGGGCAGAGGUGCCUUCCUGCUUUCUGGGCGUGUGGGGAGGGGGUUCCCAGAAAUGCCGAGGAGGCCUGGCCGGCAGCCCGAGGGGAGAGCCCCUGGCGCUUCCUGCUUGGUGAGGAGGCAGGCCUCUGCCGCCUGAGCUCGGAGAAGUGGGAGAAGCGAGUCAACGACAACAACCAUCAUCGCCCGCCCUCCUCUUCCCAGGCCUAUGUGGAGGAGGGCGCCCUCCCCGGGAUCUCCAGAGGCCUGACCCCUGGCUGGUGGGCGGGGCAGGCGUCCUGUGCUGCCCCUGAGCCUGUGCCUGCACCGUGCCCAUCCGGCUGCCCGGCAGGACCCUGCCCGCUGUCCUGGGCUCCCGAAUCAGAGCCCCUCUGGGCUGAGGGGAGGUCACCGUUCCCCAGCUGAGUGGAUUACCUGGGGCGGGGCAGAAAGGCCCGUCGCCUGUGGGUUGGGGUCUGCCUUGCCCUACCCUGCCUGAGAGGGUGAAAUGAGCUCAUGUUCCUGGCAGAGGAGCCAGCACCUGGCGCAGAGGGAAAUGAGCUGUGCCGUGGGCACGUUGGGGCGGGGGAGAUCCAGCCUGAAUCCGCCCAGCUUGGGCUGCCCUCCGGCCAGGUGUGGCCUCCCAGGGGAACACUGUGGACCCUCUCGACAGCUGAGAGGUGGGGCAGGUCGGGCACUGACCAGGAUUCCCAGCCUCCUCUAGGAGAGGGCCCAGCCUGGCCAUGCUCCCUCCCACGCUGGGGCCCAGCUCAGGAGCCCCCACCUCCAGGAAGUCCCUCAAUGCUGAGGGCCCGCCUCCAUCCCCACCCAUGCUGGGUUGUCCAGAGUGCUGACCACACAGAGGCGAGUGAGCAGCAUGGCCUUGUCCCGGGGCCUGCACCUCAUCACCAGCAUUGGGGGUGACAAAGGCCCCUGAGCUCUGCGGGUGUGGACCUCAGGGAGGCCAAGCUCCUCCAGGCCACAGGUUCGGGCUGGGGAGGGGACACUCUCCUGGGAGCAGCUCCCUGCUUGGCAGGCGCACCUUAACCUGGAGAGCUGGGUGCACAGGCAGGAGCCUCCGGGCCUGGAUAGCCAGUGAGCCUGGCAGGGUGGUGGGGACACAGAUGGACGUCCCCAGCAGGGAUGGUGCGGGUGGAGGGAGGAGCGCCCGGCAGGUCCCUGCUGUCUGGGUCUGCUCUGGUGGUGGCUGCGGGUGAGCGCCUGUGGACUGGUGGCGUGGCACUGGGCUGCUCGGCCGUGUGUUUCUGAUUCCUCGAGGCCUCCCCAGCGCGGUGUGUGUGCAAGGUACCCCCACCCUGGGCCCACUCAGUGUCCCGGGCUGCCUGGCCUGGUGCAGGACCACCCACCAGGCGGCCCCUGUCCAUCUGGGGUGGGGGUUGUGGGUGAACCCUGGGGGUAAAGAGGCCACCUCCCUGGCCCAGAAGAGCCCCAGGGUUGCUGGGCCCGGGACAGAGAGGGCAUGGGGCCGCCUGCGGUCCUAGAGGGGGCACAGAGCCAGGCCCAGCCCGACCACUGGCCUCGAAGCGUGGAUGCAGCUCCCAUCUGCUCCCCGCGAGCUGGGCCAGUCCCGACGCAGCCCCACACCUGUGGGAGGGUAGGACCCUGCAGGCCAGCCCCGCCCGCCAAGCGCUUCUGCUCCUCUGGCCUUGAGCUUGUCAGGGGCCCCUGCGGACAGCAUGACAGAGCUGGGUGAGCCCCCAUCGUGGGGUGGGGGCAGGGGACCCUGAUGGGAGCAGCAGGACCCCUCUGAGGGGCAUCUGGAACCCACCCAAGAUGCUUACUCCCUCUCCUCCUCACCCUCCAGCCCCCCACGGCCUUGUCACCAACCGGCAUGUUCCAUGGGAGUGGGUGUGUGUGUGCCUGCACCUGUGUGUUUACUGGUUCCUUCACGCUGCUGCUCCCCACCCCGCCCCGGCCAGAAGAUUCUCACCACAGGCCUGUUGUGACUGUCCUGUCCUUGCCAUGCCCAGAGCCUGGAACAGUGCAGGGAACAGAGAUGGUGCUCAGUACACAUUUGACAUGUGAAUGAAUGAGUGUGUGUGGAGAAGCCUUCGAAUCUCAGGGUUCUACCUCUACCUUGACCGAUGGAGACACUGGGCUUCACUGUGGGCACAGGGGGGUCGGGGUGAGGGUCUACCCAGGGCCAACUGUAUGGCACCUGCCCCACCCCAGCCAGGACUGCCUGGCACCAAGCGGGGCUCCUGCUGUCAGGAUGCUCUAGGUGGGGUGUGGCCUCAGCCACCGGGCAUGCAGGGGGCAAGGGUGGGUCACCACACGCCCUGGGCAGAAGCCCUGGGCCUUCACACUCCACUCUGCCGCUGGGCCCCUGUGGGACGCUGGCAGCUUGGCCUCCCCAGCACUGCCCUGGACCCACCCCACUAGGCUGGGAAGGAACUCCCUCUGGGAACCCCUUGGGCUCAGAGCAGCCCCGGCUCUGCCCAUACAGGUGCGCCCCUGCAGACGCCCCCUUGGGAUGGUGUCCACACCGUGGCUCUGCCGGAACAGCCUCCCACAUCCCCAGUCUCUAAGUGUGGACGGACAUGGGGCCUUUGGACACCAAGUGGCCGGGCCACCACUUAUCAGCAGAGGCAGCCCCCAGCCCACACAGGAACCCUUUCUUUGAGGGUCCAGAGGCCCGGGGCCUGAGUGUCUCACUCACAAACAGCCCUCCUCUGCCCACUGUCCCUCAGAAGCAAACAUAAGUGCAUCCCCCCGCCCCCUCCUCUCUCUGCAGAGUGGGCCCCAGAGCUCCUGUGAGCUCAGCCAGGUGGGGCCGUCCGUGUCAGUGGGGUUUGGGGAGACGGGUGCGAAUGGACAUCGAGGGACAGAGGAGACACAGGGCAGGGGCCCCGCCCACCCUGAUGUCUGCAGGGGCUCUAAGCCCUCACCUCACCCCUGCUGGCCUGGAGGGAGGGGCCUGAGUGGAAGGGAGGCGGGGACUGGGGGCGGGGACCGUGGGGUGGGGGUUCCUGGAGCCUGCACAGUUGUUCCUUCAUUCAUUUGACACACUUGCAAACUGUGCAGCCUCAGCCUGGUGUUUGGAACCGGGCUGGGGCAGACGCGUUCGAGGGGCUGUUUCUUGGAGUCUGGUCCAUGCCUGCAGAAUUGCAGAGUUGGAGGACCCACCCUGCAUGGCCUGAAACCUCCCAGUCCCCAGCCCUGCCCUCCACAAACCUCCAGGGGUCUGCCUCCCUGGCGGUCCAUGCGGCUUCUUGGCACCCGUGCCCCGCCCCUUCAGGGUGUCACCCACCUGGUCCGGUCCCUGCAUGGCCCAUGGCGGCAAGCGACCCCUGGCGGCGGCUGGGGGUGUUGUUGCGCCCACCCGAGGUCAGUACUGCAGUGCUGCUCACCAGGCCAAGGGGCAGACUCGCAGAGCCUUGGAAGCAGGUCCUGGGACUGCAACCCCCAGGCUCAGACACUACUGGGGCCAGGUGACUGCGGCCAGAUCUCGGCCUGGGUCCCUCCCUAUGUGGGGAGCCCCACUCUUCACUGAUGGGAGAAAACGGCUUUUCUGGACGGCGUGAUCUGGGCACAGCAGCAGCACCGACCCCUGGAAACAGGUUACAGCGUCAACCCUUGGUCUUGCCUGGCCCCUCAGGAGGCCCUGGCCCUCUGGCUGGUGCUGGGGUCCUAGGUGCCAUGGCUGAACCCAGUGACCAGCAUCUCUCAGCUCGGUACCCAGGUUCCCGGGAUGCCCCAGCUGGGCCAAGCCUCUGCCUGACCAGAAGGGCUCCUGGAACUGCCUUGGGUUCCAGUGUGCCUGUCUGAGUUUGAGAUCCGCAGGACGGGACUGCUGGAGAUGGGGUUAGGGUCGGGGAGGAAGCCCUGCCGUGUGGAGACAGAACUUCCUCAGGGAAGCCUGUUUUGCUCUGAAGUCUCCACGCCCCCAAGGACGAGGACGACAGGAGCUGAGCAGCUGCACCUGCAGGGGGCCUCCCUCCACACCCACACCCAGGAAGGGGCAGGCAUUAGCUGUGGGUACCACGCCGUCUGCUGGAGAGCACCCAGGCUUGGUGUCUGGGGACCUGCAGAUCCUCGAGGCUGUCUGGGGCAUCAGCCGUGAGCCAGUAGCUCCCGUUUUCCUUUUGGAAAAAGCCCCUUCACACAAGUUCCCAGCUCACCCCCUCUGGAGGUUCAGGACAGCCCUGGCUCUCCACCCUGAGAUGCCGGGCCUGAACCUGGUGCCCUCACGGCUGGGCCCCCUCCUGCCACACCUGCAGCCUCUGCUGGCACCAAGUGCUGCUGGAAAGUGGGAUGCACCUGGGACCACUGACAGCCCAGCCCGUCUCCCUCUGGAGCUGAGCCCUGUGCUUUGGGGACAGGCAGGGGAGGCCAGCAGGAGCCACAUGGUUACCCAGACACGCCUGCUCCUCACAGGCUGCUGCCCCCUCUGGGGGCACCUUCCGCUCAGUGACUGAGAAGCCCUAACUGAGGGGUUCCUGGGUCCCCGAGUGGCCUCUGCUUGGGAAGGCUCAGCCUACCUGCCUUCUUCCUGCAGUGCCCCCAGCGGCCUCACAGCCCAGCCAUCCUCACUCCUCUGUCGCAGCCCUGUAUCCCAGAAGCACCCUCAGCACUGCAGCCUCUCCCUGAGCCCCUACCCAGCAUGCAGCCCCUGAUGUCCUGCGGAGGUCACGCCUCCCUUAAACCCACAGCACUGUGUUUCUCUGCUGUGGAAAAUUCCCAACAGCGUCUGUCCGGGAGGCGGCAUCCGGAAGCUCUCACGUGUGCACAGGUCAAGCCUCCCGCCACAGCGGCGUCUCUCCCUCUGGCUCUGGGGGCUGCCGUCCACACACUGGUUCCCAACUCAGCCUCUGCUUCCCUCAUCUGACCUGUACCCUUUGAAUUGUUAAUGUUGUUAACUGUGUACCUGUUAGAAAUUUCCAUUUGGUUCUUUUCUAGUUUCUGUUUUUUUUUUUUAGACGGAGACUCACUCUGUCACUCAGGCUGGAGUGAAGUGGCAUGAUCUCGGCUC